rnacentral:rRNA from 1 species
ACAUGCAAGUCGAGCGAACGGACGAGAAGCUUGCUUCUCUGAUGUUAGCGGCGGACGGGUGAGUAACACGUGGAUAACCUACCUAUAAGACUGGGAUAACUUCGGGAAACCGGAGCUAAUACCGGAUAAUAUUUUGAACCGCAUGGUUCAAAAGUGAAAGACGGUCUUGCUGUCACUUAUAGAUGGAUCCGCGCUGCAUUAGCUAGUUGGUAAGGUAACGGCUUACCAAGGCAACGAUGCAUAGCCGACCUGAGAGGGUGAUCGGCCACACUGGAACUGAGACACGGUCCAGACUCCUACGGGAGGCAGCAGUAGGGAAUCUUCCGCAAUGGGCGAAAGCCUGACGGAGCAACGCCGCGUGAGUGAUGAAGGUCUUCGGAUCGUAAAACUCUGUUAUUAGGGAAGAACAUAUGUGUAAGUAACUGUGCACAUCUUGACGGUACCUAAUCAGAAAGCCACGGCUAACUACGUGCCAGCAGCCGCGGUAAUACGUAGGUGGCAAGCGUUAUCCGGAAUUAUUGGGCGUAAAGCGCGCGUAGGCGGU